GGUUUGGGAGGGGUUUACGAACUCCGCAUGGUGAAGGAAAGUGCCAAGAAAAGCUGGUAAUGUGAUGAAAGCAUCAUACCCGUACCCGAAACCGACACAGGUAGGGAGGUUGAGAAUACCAAGGGGCGCGAGAUAACUCUCUCUAAGGAACUCGGCAAAAUGGCCCCGUAACUUCGGAAGAAGGGGUGCCCACGAGAGUGGGUCGCAGUGAAGAGAUCCAGGCGACUGUUUACCAAAAACACAGGUCUCCGCUAACUCGAAAGAGGACGUAUGGGGGCUGACGCCUGCCCAGUGCCGGAAGGUUAAGGAAGUUGGUCAGGGGUUCGCCCUGAAGCUGACGACCGAAGCCCCGGUGAACGGCGGCCGUAACUAUAACGGUCCUAAGGUAGCGAAAUUCCUUGUCGGGUAAGUUCCGACCCGCACGAAAGGCGUAACGAUCUGGAUGGUGUCUCAGAGAGAGACUCGGCGAAAUAGGAAUGUCUGUGAAGAUACGGACUGCCUGCACCUGGACAGAAAGACCCUAUGAAGCUUUACUGUAGCCUGGAAUUGUGUUCGGGCUUGGCUUGCGCAGGAUAGGUGGGAAGCACAGAAGUACCCCUUGUGGGGGGUAUGGAGCUAACGGUGAGAUACCACUCUGGCGAAGCUAGAAUUCUAACCUAGCACCCUCAGCGGGUGUAGGAACAGUUUCAGGUGGGCAGUUUGACUGGGGCGGUCGCCUCCUAAAAGGUAACGGAGGCGCGCAAAGGUUCUCUCAGCACGCUUGGAAACCGUGCGGCGAGUGUAAAGGCAUAAAGAGAGCUUGACUGCAAGAGUGACAACUCAAGCAGGGACGAAAGUCGGCCUUAGUGAUCCGACGGCACAGAAUGGAAUGGCCGUCGCUCAACGGAUAAAAGUUACUCUAGGGAUAACAGUCUGAUCUCCCCCAAGAGUCCACAUCGACGGGGAGGUUUGGCACCUCGAUGUCGGCUCAUCGCAACCUGGGGCGGAAGUACGUCCCAAGGGUUGGGCUGUUCGCCCAUUAAAGCGGUACGUGAGCUGGGUUCAGAACGUCGUGAGACAGCUCGGUCCAUAUCCGGUGCAGGCGUAAGAGCAUUGAGAGGAGCCUUCCUUAGUACGAGAGGACCGGGAAGGACGCACCGCUGGUGUACCAGUUAUUCCACCAGGAGUAGACGCUGGGUAGCUAAGUGCGGAGCGGAUAACCGCUGAAAGCAUCUAAGUGGGAAGCCCACCUCAAGAUGAGUGCUCUCACUACUUAAGUAGGUAAGGUCACGGGCAGAACACCCGUUUAUAGGCUCUAAGUGGAAGUACAGCAAUGUAUGUAGCUGAGGAGUCCUAACAGACCGAGGGCU
rnacentral:rRNA from 1 species